ensembl:snRNA U6 U6 spliceosomal RNA
GUGCUCAUUUAAAAUGCAGCACAUAAAACUAAAAUCAGAACAAUACGGAGAAGAUUAACACGACCCCUGAUUAACACGAUCUUGCACAAGGAUGAUGUGCAAAUUCAUGAAGUGUUCCACAUUUAA